rnacentral:rRNA from 1 species
GACGAACGCUGGCGGCGUGCUUAACACAUGCCAGUCGAACGGAAAGGCCCUGCUUGCAGGGUACUCGAGUGGCGAACGGGUGAGUAACACGUGGGUGAUCUGCCCUGCACUUCGGGAUAAGCCUGGGAAACUGGGUCUAAUACCGGAUAGGAGCCAUUUUUAGUGUGAUGGUUGGAAAGUUUGUUCGGUGUAGGAUGAGCUCGCAGCCUAUCAGCUUGUUGGUGGGGUAAUGGCCUACCAAGGCGGCGACGGGUAGCCGGCCUGAGAGGGUGGACGGCCACAUUGGGACUGAGAUACGGCCCAGACUCCUACGGGAGGCAGCAGUGGGGAAUAUUGCACAAUGGGCGCAAGCCUGAUGCAGCGACGCCGCGUGGGGGAUGACGGCCUUCGGGUUGUAAACUCCUUUCGCUAGGGACGAAGCUUUUGUGACGGUACCUAGAUAAGAAGCACCGGCUAACUACGUG